ACGGAAGGCAGCAGUGGGGAAUAUUGCACAAUGGGGGAAACCCUGAUGCAGCGACGCCGCGUGAGUGAAGAAGUAUUUCGGUAUGUAAAGCUCUAUCAGCAGGAAAGAAAAUGACGGUACCUGACUAAGAAGCCCCGGCUAACUACGUGCCAGCAGCCGCGGUAAUACGUAGGGGGCAAGCGUUAUCCGGAUUUACUGGGUGUAAAGGGAGCGUAGACGGCUUUGCAAGUCUGAAGUGAAAGCCCGGGGCUCAGCCCCGGAACUGCUUUGGAAACUGUUAAGCUAGAGUGCAGGAGAGGUAAGUGGAAUUCCUAGUGUAGCGGUGAAAUGCGUAGAUAUUAGGAGGAACACCAGUGGCGAAGGCGGCUUACUGGACUGUAACUGACGUUGAGGCUCGAAGGCGUGGGGAGCAAACAGGAUUAGAUACCCUGGUA
rnacentral:rRNA from 1 species